rnacentral:rRNA from 1 species
UACGAAGGGGGCUAGCGUUGCUCGGAAUCACUGGGCGUAAAGCGCACGUAGGCGGAUUGUUAAGUCAGGGGUGAAAUCCUGGAGCUCAACUCCAGAACUGCCUUUGAUACUGGCGAUCUCGAGUCCGGGAGAGGUGAGUGGAACUGCGAGUGUAGAGGUGAAAUUCGUAGAUAUUCGCAAGAACACCAGUGGCGAAGGCGGCUCACUGGCCCGAUACUGACGCUGAGGCACGAAAGCGUGGGAGCAAACAGG